rfam:Clostridium caminithermale DSM 15212 genome assembly, contig: EJ27DRAFT_scaffold00110.110
CCUAUGGAGUGUUAUAACAAACGAAAGUAGCUUCGGCAAAAUCGGACACUAUGAAGUAGGAA